rnacentral:rRNA from 1 species
AUUGAACGCUGGCGGCAUGCCGUACACAUAGCAAGUCGAACGGCAGCACGGGAGCAAUCCCUGGUAGGCGGAGUGGCGAACGGGUGAGUAAUAUAUCGGAACGUGCCCAGUCGUGGGGGAUAACGUAGCGAAAGCUACGCUAAUACCGCAUACGAUCUACGGAUGAAAGCGGGGGAUCGCAAGACCUCGCGCGAUUCGGAGCGGCCGAUAUCAGAUUAGCUAGUUGGUGGGGUAAAAGCUCACCAAGGCGACGAUCUGUAGCUGGUCUGAGAGGACGACCAGCCACACUGGAACUGAGACACGGUCCAGGACUCCUACGGGAGGCAGCAGUGGGGAAUUUUGGACAAUGGGCGCAAGCCUGAUCCAGCAAUGCCGCGUGCAGGAUGAAGGCCUUCGGGUUGUAAACUGCUUUUGUACGGAACGAAAAGGUCCUUUCUAAUAAAGAGGGCUCAUGACGGUACCGUAAGAAUAAGCACCGGCUAACUACGUG